UACGUAGGGUGCAAGCGUUGUCCGGAAUCAUUGGGCGUAAAGAGCGUGUAGGCGGCUCCGAUCAGUCCGCUGUAAAAGUCCAGGGCUCAACCCUGGGAUGCCGGUGGAAACUGUCGGGCUAGAGUCCGGGAGAGGCGAGUGGAAUUCCUGGUGUAGCGGUGAAAUGCGCAGAUAUCGGGAGGAACACCGGUGGCGAAGGCGGCGAUCUGGGUCGAGUACUGACGCUGAGGUGCGAAAGCGUGGGGAGCAAACAGG
rnacentral:rRNA from 1 species